rnacentral:rRNA from 1 species
AUGGCCCUACGGGAGGCAGCAGUGAGGAAUAUUGGUCAAUGGCCGGAAGGCUGAACCAGCCACGCCGCGUGAAGGACGAAGGUGCCAAGCAUUGUAAACUUCUUUUGUCAAGGGACAAAAUCAGGCUCGAGAGCCUGACCGAGGGCACUUGAAGAAAAAGCAUCGGCUAACUCCGUGCCAGCAGCCGCGGUAAUACGGAGGAUGCGAGCGUUAUCCGGAUUUAUUGGGUUUAAAGGGUGCGUAGGCGGACUGUU